AAGGAGGAAUGUCUACCCCACCUGUAUUUCAAUGCCACCACUUGGCUCAGCCUCCUUUCCUUAGACCUACAAGUUUUUUCCCAGUGUGUGAAAUGCCUCCUCUUUAGAAAGGCAUAUUCCAGAACCUGGCAAAACAGCAGGGGUGAUGGAUGGAUUGAGAGCAGCCCUGUGAAGAAGGACUGGGCCAUCCUUGAGAAAGGAAAUACUGGAUAUGAGCUGGCACUGUGUGCUUGCAGCCCUGACACCCCUCUGUACCUGUGCCUAAACAGGGAUGUCCAACAAGUCAAGGGAGGGAAUUCUGCCCCUCUGCUGGAGUGAAAGCCAGGAAAAGGAUGCCUGUGAAUGUUGUGGAUGUCCCAUCAUUGGUAGUGUUCAGGGUCAGGUUGGAUGAGGGUCUGAGGAAUGUGGUCUAGUGGAAAGUGUCCCUGACCAUGGCAGAGAGAGAAAGGCCCCAGACCCUGAGGAGUCUCCCCACCCCUGCCAGAGUCCCCCCUGCCAGUAGCACCAGCAAGGCUCCUUCAGCCCCUUAUUUCAGAGACAAGAAAGAAAUAGUUGUUAUUUCCCCCACAGAGUCUCUGGGCUCUGCUUCCUCAGCCUUCCCCUUGUGCCCCACCACGGGUGGCACCCAUGUCCUGUGGGGCACAGCCUUAGGCCCAGGGCCAUGGGGGCAGCACCUUUUCCCACAGGAAAUCCAAGGCUCCAAUCUCUCUGGAUCUCUCUGCAUGGCAUCUUGUUGUUGUGGUGGGUUUUCAUUUUCUUUAUUUGCUAUAUUUUAUUGCUUGAUUUGUGGUUUUUUUAAUCCCUCUGUGUUUUUCUCCCCGCCUUUGGAGUAGCACAGGUUCCCCAUUUUGUAUCUUAUGUUGCUAAAUUUAGACUUGCUCCCUCGUUGUUAUUCAGCUUGGUUAACUGUCUUUGUGUUUGUUGCCUGGCCACUCCCUGCCAAAUUGUCAAUCCCUCUUGUCCCUACUCUUUUUCCCCCAACACCUUCCCUGCUCCUUCCCUCCUCAGAUGUCAAUCCUUCCCUAAGCCUGCCUUUUUCUCCAGAACCUUCUUUGUCAGUUCUCUAUCCUUUGAAACCCCAUUGGUUUACUUAAGCCUUUCCCCUCCCUUCAGAUCCUCUAUUGGUUUACAGAUUGUAUUUCCCCACCUUGUGUUCCACCGUCAGUCCUCUCAAUUGGUUAACAAUUGUAUUCUCCCCCAAGACCAUCCCUGUUUAUAUAAGUUAGUACCUGUCCUUGGUUCAGGGUCUUGGGACUUUGGACUUGGGGAGUUUACCAUCAAAUAAAGCUACCCCUGUUGCGACUCCAAGACCCGUGCUGCUUUGUUAAUCUGUGCCAAACCUCUGCUGGCAGCUGGAAUUCUGCGGGGUCUGCCAGGGGGAUCUGUCACACCCCUGUUCUCUCUGUCGCUGGGCUGGGCACACAUAGCCUCUACACCACAACAUCUUGUCCCUCAAGAGAGUCAACAGCCCCUCCCAGUUUGAGAUCAGCAGCAGCCUUGAAUUGGGACAUUUAACUGCGGCAUCCCAAUCUUUGAAAAAUCCCAACCUUCUCCUCCAGCCGAGCUUCCAGCUGUCCCUCACUUGGUCAGUUCCUACGAGGUGUCCCACAACAACACAGCGAGGCCCACAAGACCCUGCUGGCAGCCUGGCUGCCCUGAUUCAGACACAUUUUCCUUUCUUCCCACAGUUCUGCAGCUUGAACAAUGGGAAGGGGCCCUUGUUUGGUCAGCAGUGAAGUGUCAGACUGCACCUUGCUGGCUCAGUGCCCUUCCCAGGCUUCAGGAUUCAGGUGGGGAGGACAACUCAGCACAGGCAGGAGGAGAAAAGUUGAGCUGCACCCCUGGGGCACCAUUUGUGUAUUUGCAGAUUUCCUUUGUUCAGGGGCCUACAUGCUGUCCUUGUCACCUCAGGGGUGCUGCCAGCAUGGAGGCCUGGCCUUGUCAUUGUGCAGAUGAAAGAACUGCUGCCAAAACAAAAGGCAGAAUUCCUUCCUGGGUUUGGAGCCCCCUAGACAGGACCCAUUCUACUGAGCAAGCAAGGCUGAACAGUCCCACAGCCCUAAACACAGCUGCAAAGUGUCCUUGUGCCCAUCACCCUCGAUCCAGAAGGGCUGCAGAGAGGACAAACUCUGAGCUUUAAACCAAAAGGGACAAAAUCAUGCACAGGGCCUGGCCUGGAAGGCCUGGAUGUGAUGGCCGCUCCCAGGGAGAGAGACCAGAGGCCCUGUGAGUAGAGACCAGGACUGUUCCCAGGAAACCAUGGCAAGGUGUCAGGAGCAGGCAUUAGAGACAGGGCCAGGGAGAUGUGAUGCAGGUGGCUGAGGGAGAGCAUCAUGGAGAUGAAACUAGGAAAUUAAAACUAGGAAACAGGAUUUCCUUUGUUCUCUGACAACAUGUGCCUGCAGGGAUGGAAGGCCUCCUGUGUAAUCACAGUGUUAGAAAUGAACUUUUAGAUACAAAUAAAUGGAGAGACAAUGUUGUGGAGGCAAAAGAAAUCUGUUUAUUAGUAACAAUUCACCUGAGCUGCAGGUAUGCCCUCUUUCCCUCAAGAGCCAAACACACACACCCUCCAAAAAAGGACUACAUUUUAUCCCCUUUCCUGGCCAGGGGCGAUCCCUGUCCCCUUUCCCAUUGCCUGGGUACUUGGGAAUUCCUAUUCUCUCCUCACUACCUUCUUUUCUGUCCCCACUCCUCUGAUCCUACUUCCUUUUUGGUCAUGUCUUUAACUUGGCUGUUUUCCCAGCUCACAGCAACAAAUUAACUGGAGCAAUUCCAAACCAGAAGUUACAACACACAGAAUGAACGACUUUCAUUUUUUUACCUAAUAACCUUUUAGGUUCAGCAAAAUAUUACCUUAUCGCUGACAACAGGGUAGAGGACUCUGAUGUCACCAACCUCUGGAUGAUGACAUCAGGAAUUGCUGGAUUGUGACCUCACCUUCUCUCCCUGCUUAUCUUGGGGUUCCAAGGAGUUUCAAUGCUUUUUGUGCUGUCACAGGGGUUGGAGGCUGGUGUCAGAGAGCAGUGGGCUGUGACAUCACAGGGGGAUGCAUUGUGACAUUAUGCCCCUCAGUUCCAAGGGAUACUUCUGAAAAAUACCUCCCAAAGUAAAUCUUUCUCCAAGCAGAUGGACUGGCAAAACCCAUAAUCUGUGAGCAGAAGACCGGAAUACUUUUGCCUGUUGGAAAAAUGCCAAAGCAACGUGCUCUUGACUAGACAUUCUCUUGUCCUUACCAUAAAGAAAAAGACACUGAACAAACUGAAACAUCAGGGAUUUUGUGGGAGCAGAAAGGAGAGACAAAAUCUGUUUCAUUCUUUAAGUUGUCUGGAAAAAUUCUGCAAGUUUGCAAAGUGCACAGAGAUGCAGUCACUAGAAUGAGGCCGUUACUCACAUCUGGCAUCCCUAAGCCUUUGCCUCAGUUUUCAGAGAGUUUGUAAGUGAGGGAUACAUGCAAGAUUUGUCUAAUUAGUAAAGGUAAAGAUUCACUUAGGGUUUGAUGUGUGGGGAUCUCUGCAGUCCCAGAAGGCAUGCUGAGACCAAUUUCUUUGGUUUCAUUCCCUCACAGCAAAAAAAAAAAAAAAAAGGAAAAAAAAAACCCAA